AAUCCCAAACCUACAAAUUCUUAUCCUCCAUUCCACUCUUUCUCUGGUGUUUCGCCAGUAUGAGUGACUACAAGUACGGCUAUCCCUAUCCUCCUCCAGGAAAUUGUCAAGUGCAUCCUCCAGUAAUGGCACCUCCUCAGUAUUAUGCAGCCCCACCACCACCAAAGAGAGAGAAAGGUUUUCUUGAGGGAUUCCUUGCAGCUUUGUGUUGUUGCUGUCUCUUGGAUGACUGCUGCUGCGACCCCUCUGUGUUAAUUGUGGACUAGGAUCCUAACCAGCAAGAAUUUGCCCAGGGUUGCUUCGUUAUCAUACCAGUAGGAAAAAUAACAGUUUGAUCAUACACUGCACGUAUUCUGCUGAUGAAAGUUAACAAUUGUAUACAUAUUUAACAUAUGCUGUAAUAGAUGAAAGUUCAUAGCAGAAAUCCAUAGAUAUUAAUUUUUAUAUUGUCAUA